AAGUCGUAACAAGGUUUCCGUAGGUGAACCUGCGGAAGGAUAAACAACCCUGUGAACUUUAAGUCCCCUCUUGCAGCCCAUGAGGAACAGCAAUCCCGGUAAAUCAUUGCCAAACAGUUUUGAUUCGGGACCUCUGUCCAAAAGGAGUUGCAAUCGAAGGGUGGAAGCAGUGGCAUGGCUUCCCCAAGCAGUUAGUGAAUGACAGUGUCACUGACUGUGUAAGGAUAACGCCUCACGGUUGCUAGAGGUCGAUCACCGACCGGCAGACAUGUCACAGGGUCACCACGCCCCUUAAUCACUCCACUUGAAAAUGCCCCGCCUAGUGGUAACGCGCUAGGUAAAAAAAACCGAACAACUGUUAACAAUGGAUAUCUUGGUUCUC
rnacentral:misc_RNA from 1 species